AGAGCUAUAGCUCAAUUGAAUAGAGCAUUUCCCUCCUAAGGAAAAGGCUGCCGGUUUGAUUCCGGCUAGCUCUACUA
rnacentral:tRNA from 1 species